rnacentral:misc_RNA from 1 species
UUUCCGUAGGUGAACCUGCGGAAGGAUCAUUCAUAAUAAGUGUUUUAUGGCACUUUUUUAAAUCCAUAUCCACCUUGUGUGCAAUGUCAGGGUUGAUUUUUCUCUCGAGAGGAUCAACCCCAAACAUCAACUAUAUCUCAACUCUUUGUCUCAAAAAUAUUAUGAAUAAAACAAUUCAAAAUACAACUUUCAACAACGGAUCUCUUGGCUCUC